AGAAAUUCCAUAGUAGCGGCGAGCGAAGCGGGAAAGCUCAAAUUUGUAAUCUGGCGCUUUCGGCGUCCGMSUUGUAAUCUCGAGAAGUGUUUUCCGCGUCAGACCGCACACAAGUCUCCUGGAACGGAGCGUCACAGUGGUGAGAACCCAGUACACGGUGCGGAUGCCUGAUGCUUUGUGAUACACUUUCGAAGAGUCGAGUUGUUUGGGAAUGCAGCUCAAAUUGGGUGGUAAAUUCCAUCUAAAGCUAAAUAUUGGCGAGAGACCGAUAGCGAACAAGUACCGUGAGGGAAAGAUGAAAAGCACUUUGGAAAGAGAGUUAACAGUACGUGAAAUUGUUGGAAGGGAAACGCUUGAAGUCAGACUUGCUAUUCGGAGCUUGCUUCGAUUCGCAGGCCCGCAUCAGUUUUCCGGGGCGGAAAAUCGUAAGGAGAAGGUAGCAGUUUCGGCUGUGUUAUAGCUCUUUACUGGAUUCGUCCUGGGGGACUGAGGAACGCAGCGUGCUUUUUGCAUGGGCUUCGGCCCAUCCACGCUUAGGAUGCGGGUGGAAUGGCUUUAAACGACCCGUCUUGAAACACGGACWYA
rnacentral:rRNA from 1 species